rnacentral:rRNA from 1 species
GUGGGGAAUCUUGCGCAAUGGGCGAAAGCCUGACGCAGCCAUGCCGCGUGAAUGAUGAAGGUCUUAGGAUUGUAAAAUUCUUUCACCGGGGACGAUAAUGACGGUACCCGGAGAAGAAGCUCCGGCUAACUUCGUGCCAGCAGCCGCGGUAAUACGAAGGGGGCUAGCGUUGCUCGGAAUUACUGGGCGUCAAGGGCGCGUAGGCGGACGGCGUAGUCAGAGGUGAAAGCCCAGGGCUCAACCUUGGAAUUGCCUUUGAUACUGGCUGUCUUGAGUUUGGGAGAGGAGAGUGGAACUCCGAGUGUAGAGGUGAAAUUCGUAGAUAUUCGAAAGAACACCAGUGGCGAAGGCGACUCACUGGCCCAAUACUGACGCUGAGGCGCGAAAGCGUGGGGAGCAAACAGGAUUAGAUACCCUAGUAGUCC